AUGGAUUCCAGAACAGCGAUCUGCGGCGCUCUGCUGCUACUGGUGACAUUGCUGCCUCUUUCAGCCACCGCGUCGAGCAAGCUCUACAUUGUGUAUAUGGGGGAGAAGAAGCACGAUGACCCGUCCGUAGUCAUCGCGUCGCACCAUGACAUCCUAACAUCCGUUUUUGUGAGCAAGGAUGAAGCCAUGAGGUCGAUAGUUUACAGUUACAAGCAUGGAUUUUCUGGGUUCGCGGCUAUGCUCACAAAAUCUCAAGCUGUCGCAAUCGCAAAAUUUCCUGAAGUUGUCUCUGUGAAGCCUAAUAUUUUUCACAAAACGCACACAACUCGGAGCUGGGAUUUCCUUGGGCUUGACUAUAAUCAACUGCCACAACAACCGGGGCUCCUCAAAAGAGCAAAGUAUGGUGAAGAUGUCAUUGUGGGUGUGAUCGAUACAGGUAUAUGGCCUGAAUCACGAAGCUUUGAUGACAAUGGCUAUGGCCCCGUGCCAGCACGGUGGAAAGGAAAAUGCCACAGUGGCGAGAAGUUCAACGCCACUGGUUGCAACAGAAAGAUCAUCGGUGCGCGGUGGUAUGGCCGUGGCAUCAGCGCCGAGUCACUAAAGAGCGACUAUAAGUCACCUAGGGACCUCAACGGCCAUGGCACACACGUCGCUUCAACUAUCGCCGGUGGGGAAGUGCAGGGCGUGAGCUAUGGAGGCCUAGGCAUGGGCGUGGCACGUGGUGGAGCACCACGUGCACGACUUGGUAUCUACAAGGUGUGCUGGGUGGAUGAGGGUUGCCCUGACGCGGCGGUCCUUGCUGCCAUCGACGACGCCAUACAUGAUGGGGUUGAUGUCUUGUCGCUCUCUGUUGGAGGGGUUGGUCAGGAGUACUCUGGGACGUUGCAUGCUGUGCAAAGAGGGAUCUCUGUCGUGUUCGCCGGAGGGAAUGAUGGCCCUGUGCCACAGACGGUGACGAAUGCCAUGCCGUGGGUUACGACGGUGGCCGCUAGCACGAUUGACCGGUCUUUUCCAACCUUGAUAUCGCUUGGGAACAAAGAAAAGCUGGUGCACGAAAGUGACGUUCAAACCAACCCUGGAAAAAUAAAUGGUUUAUGCGACCCGGAAUCACUGGCCUUGGGCAAUGUCACGGGCAAAACCGUCCUUUGUUAUGCACCAGAAGAGGCAUCGCGGUGGUCGCCCCAGUUAAUACUCCCUUAUGCCAUCAAUUAUACUAUAGAGGCCGGUGCGAAGGGCCUCAUCUUCGCACAAUACACCGCCAACAAUCUUGACAGCCUGGUUGAAUGCGAGGGAUUUAUGCCUUGCACGCUGGUGGAUUUUGAGAUCGCACAUCGAAUUUUCUCCUACUGGGACAUGACUGACAAUCCGGUGGUGAAGGUGUUUCCGGCUGUAAGUGUUGUUGGAAAUGGGGUGUUGUCGCCAAGGGUCGCCUCGUUCUCGUCCAGAGGUCCAAGCCUAUUGUUCCCCGGCAUACUCAAGCCCGACAUUACUGCUCCUGGCGUCAACAUCUUGGCGGCGGUGCGCGGCUCCUAUGUGUUCUAUUCUGGGACAUCAAUGGCGUGCCCACAUGUCUCCGCAGUGACCGCGAUGCUCAAGUCGGUUCACUCUCAGUGGUCACCUGCCAUGAUCAAAUCGGCCAUUGUCACCACAGCAUCUGUGACCAAUCGUUUUGGCAUGCCAAUCCAAGCAGAAGCUGUCCCAAGGAAACUAGCCGACCCCUUCGACUUUGGUGGUGGACACAUUGACCCAGAUAGAGCCGUUGACCCUGGCUUAGUUUACGAUGUUGAUGCAAGGGAGUACAACAAGUUUUUCAACUGCACCGUUGGAUAUUUAGCUGGUUGUGAGUCCUACUACCUAAAUCUCAACCUCCCGUCAAUUGCCGUGCCAGACCUCAAGGACCAUGUCAUGCUUCGGCGCACCGUGACUAACGUUGGGCCAGAGGAAGCAACAUAUCAUUUAGUGGUUGAACCUCCAGCGGGGAUAGAUGUGUCCGUAGAGCCAUCUGUGAUCAAUUUCACCCAAAGCAGUAGUAAAAGCGUGACGUUUAUGGUGACAUUCACAACAAGGCAGAGAGUGCAAGGAGGAUACACUUUCGGGAGCUUGACAUGGUCAGACGGAAGUACCCACUCAGUGAGAAUUCCUAUUGCGGUACGGACUGUGAUACAAGACUUUGUUGCAGAUACAUCUUAA
rnacentral:rRNA from 1 species